UUUUUUUUUUUUGGAGACAGAGUCUUGCUCUGUCACCCAGGCUGGAAUGCCGUGGCAUGAUCUUGGCUCACUGCAAGCUCCGCCUCCCAGGUUCACACCAUUCUCCUGCCUCAGCCUCCCGAGUAGCUGGGACUACAGGCGCCCGCCACCAUGCCCAGCUAAUUUUUUUUUUUUUGUAUUUUUCAGUAGAGAUGGGGUUUCAUCGUGUUAGCCAGGAUGGUCUAGAUCUCCUGGCCUCGUGAUUCCCCCGUCUCGGCCUCCCAAAGUGCUGGGAUUACAGGCGUGAGCCACCGCGCCCAGCCGCCGAGAUCAUUCUUGUUUUUAGAAAACCCACCAUUAUUUUCCUCUCUAGCCACAUGGAUUCUAAAACCUCCUCUUCUGAGCUGUAAUCAGAAUGCAGAGAAGUAAUACAAGGUUAGGGCCCGGGACUCCUUCUCCCACCUCUCCCAGCAGAGACCCAGAAUUUUCAAAAAAAUGACCUUGGUCUUCAGGGAAAGAACUUCCCACCACAAUGAGCAGCCAUGCCCAGCCAACCCUUGACUGUGGGGCUUACUUAGCUCAUCCAUCCAAAGGCUAUUCCUGGGAUGCCUAGUAGGAAUCCAGGCAUGGAGCUAGUGCAAGCAUAAUGAUAAGAGUAAGCCCAGCAGUCACAGGCCCCAGUAAUAACCAGGUAAACAAAUAAACAGAACUAUAAACUGUGAUGACAACAAUUCAUCUGUCCACAGAUAUUCACUGAAUGUCCACUGUGUGCCUGGCACUGUUCCAAGUGCUGAAGAAAAAUGAAGAAAACAAAAAUCCGUGCCCUUGUAGAGGAGACAUUGUAAUGUGGAAGAUGACAUAAUGAAAAAGAAUGAAGAACAAAACAGAAAAGUAACAUGUCACUUGAUGACAAGUACUGUGGAAUGAGACUGUCAUCUAUAUGAAGCACAGAAAGUGGAACAUGGCAACAUCUCAGCCAAAAGACCUGGCAGACACCACCUUGGCCAAGGGAUCAAGGUUGGCAUCGCCGGCUGUAAGCAGUGCUGACAUCUCGUUCUCUUCGAUAUGGCGUCAUGAGCAGGCUGCCUUGCUGGUGGGAUCUUCCUCCAAACCCAGAACUUCAGUCCAAUCACGAGAAAAUGACAGCCAAUCCCAAGUUCAGGGACAUUUGGCAAAAUACCCCACCACUCCUACUUAAAAGUGUCGAGGUCAUGAAAGGAAGGAAACCCUGGGAAAUCGUCAUUGGCCGGAGGAAACUAAGCAGACACGAUGACUAAAUGCAAUGUAGAAUCCUGGGACAGAAAAGGACAUUAGUGAGAGAGCUGGUGAAACCCAAGUAAGUCCAGGCUGUACCAAUGUCCACUUCCCAGUUCUGAGGAACAUGCUGUGGUCACGUGAGAUGUACAUAUUUGCAUUAGUGGAAGCAGGGAGAGCGUAUAUGGGACCGCUCUGUAUUGUUUGUAUAACUUUUCUGUAAAUCCAAAACUGCUUUAAAAUAGCUUUUUAAAUGAUACUUUAAGUUCUGGGGUGUAUGUGCAGAAUGUGCAGAUUUGUUACAUAGGUAUACAUGUACCACGGUGGUUUGCUGCACCCCCUUUUUUUAAGAAAAUGUUUCAAAAAGAAAAAUAUUUUUUCUUUUACCUGUAGGUGAUUUUUCCCUGUUGGUAAGCUCAUUCCGUGGGAGG
ensembl:lncRNA